AUGAGAAGCCCGCGCACCGCAACAAAGAGUAGCCUCCGCUCGCCACAACUAGAGAAAGCCCACGCGCAGCAACGAAGACCCAACACAGCCAAAAGUAAAUAAUUAAUUUUUUAAAAAAGAACCUGCCGGAUGCCUCCAGGGACGGCGUGAGCUCCACCACCAGUGCAGCUGUGACGGGCUCCAGAGACAGCAGAGUUUCUAAACAGCAGACAAACUGUAGUGAAUAGCAGUGCAUACUUUGAGAAUAAAACUGUAAGAAGAAACACGAGGAAGUCAUUACUGUAGAAGGAGAAGGGCACUUUUGGGGGGAGGAAAGGCUGUCAUUGUGACGCGGGGCUUGGAGGGGCUUCUGGGCAGCUGACAAGAGUUCUGUUUCUUGACCUGGACGGUAGUUAGAAGUAUGUCACCUUUUAAGCUAUACAUUUGUGUGACUGUAUCUGUAUCUGCAUCAUGAGGCUUGUGAGAACUUAGUUCCCCGACCAGGGAUUGAACCUGGGCCCCGGCAGUGAGAGCGCAGAGUCCUAACCACGACCGCCAAGGAAUUCCCCAAUGAAAAUAUUUUCUGAAAAAAAGCAUUAAUGUAAAUAAUGGACUUUUUAUGGAAAACUAUAGAAUUGAGUCAAACAAUAGCAUUUAGUGCCUCGUCACCUGCUGGAAGGUCAUUGCUCAGUGAUAUAUAGAUGUCAUUAAGAGAACAAAAGAAAACAAGAUGGCGAAAGAUUAACAAUUAAGAUGCAUCCGUGACGCAGCUUCACCUGAUCCCUGCCUUCUGACUUAACCGACACAUCCUGUCCCUGGCCUGUUGUGCUACUGAUAUUGUCACGCAAAAUGUUUCUGGACCAGGUGGGAAAAUGCCCUUUGACAGGUCUCUCCCCACUCUCGCUGAGGAGCCGUUCUUUAAAAUACCACCAAGAAUUUGCGGAACCCACAUCUUAAUACAAGCUGUUAAUGAAAAUAAGCUUUAUUACAUCGAGUAAUAAAUACAAAGAUGCAAACAGUUCCAUUUUCUUCCAGAUGUUUGGAUCAACUUACAGGAAAGGCAGAACUGAAAUCUACAUACAGUCUCAGGAAAAAUUUCGGGGAUCCUUGUUGGGUUUGGUUUGGGAGGUUGCUCUUCUGUAUGUAUAUAACUUGUGCAUUUUAAAAAUCGACUUCAGAGCACUAAUAGUCAUGCAAAUGCUUAAGCAAAAAAGAAUUUACGUUAAGCAGAAUCUAUAGUGUAUGGGAAACGAGGGGACCAGCUACUAGUUAAGUGUGCUGUCAAGUCCGCACUACAAAAAAAUCCCUUCAAGUUGUAUCAGCUUAUGAAAAGGAUCAAAGAACAAUCCGGGUAACAUAAAUGUAUUCAAAAGAGGAAAGCGAGACAGUGGUAUCUUGGAGGCAAACUAGUUUGCUGUAAGAUAGGUAAUUUUUACGUGCAUCUUUUGAAUCAAUGCUUUAAAAAACAACAAACACCUGGGUAGUUCCUAACUAUUUAAAAUGUAACUCCCAAUCAACUGCAAAAUCUUUCCUCGAUCUUACAGACUAUAGAUUCGGAGCCUAGUGAACCAUGGGAGGGGCAGGGGGACGAGAAACCAAACUGUUACCAUUUUGAAAACAAAAGUUUCAUCUGAACAGGGGAAAUGAACUGUAACUUCUCUCCGAAGAUGGAAAACCGUCCAGGCUCACAGGGCAGCUAGGACCUGGCAUUCCGUUCCGUUUCAGCCAAGCACUCCCGCACCAACCCUCGAGCGUGGAUGAUGCCUGGAAGAGAAGCAGAGGUGGACGUCAGCCAGCAGCACCCAUUCCAGAAGAGGAGGAGGGUCCUUCCAAACCAACUGCGAAACCCUCGGACUGGAGGAACUCGGGACCUGCAUCCAACACCCCAAACCCCAUCCCACCCCUCAAAGCCAAAACCCCUCUUCACGUCUCCCUAAAAGUUUCUUCCCAUGCUCACGGUGACAGCCAGCAAGCUCUCUUUUUAUGACAUGACUCUCUAUUUGAACCAUGUUACCAUCCAGAUGACAGGAGGAAGUGUGUCCCCACCCAAGUUCUUUAAGCAGGGACCCGCUUUGGAGAUUCCUUCCACACCUUCAAACCAUUAUUUUUCCUAAAUUCUAGAAAGGGCUUGACAAUGUCAGGCAGCCUGGCUGGUUUGGGUGCAAGACGAGUGCUCACUCAGGCCACCUUGGUCCACUGCUUUGUCCUUCCCCCCAGGGGACGGGUGCCAUCUCCUGCACUAUUAUUCUCCCCUCAUCUUUUAUCUCUAUAGUUUGGGAGUUAUCUAUUGCUUGUUUGGGUUUUGUGGGGUUUUUUUCUUUUUUUGGUUUUACUGAACUUCAUGAAAUAUUGAUUUCAUUUUAAUAGACACUAAGAAUCUGCUCCUUCCAAGAGCUGACCCCCCAGAGGGCACUGGGAAUGACACCCCAAGUCACUCAGGUGUCCCCACCUCACAAAUCUUACCCCCCAGAGCUUCCGAAGACUUUCUGGAAAGGGCUGUGUAGCCACUGUCGCAGCUACUCCACUCCACCAUUGUACUGUGAGAGCAGCCGCAGACAUUAAUAAGCAAUGGGUGUGGCCAUGUUCCCACAAGUCUUUACUUACAACACUGAGGUCUGAAUUUCACAAAAUUUUCACAUGUCACAAAAUCUUAUUUUUUUCACCAUUAAAAAACGCAAAACAUUCUUGG